ensembl:miRNA
AGAAGGAUUGCCUAGCAGUAGCUAUUUAGUGUGAUAAUGGCGUUUGAUAGCUUGGACACAAACACCAUUGUCACACUCCACAGCUCUGCUAAGGAAACUCUGUAG